rnacentral:rRNA from 1 species
GAUGAACGCUGGCGGCGUGCCUAAUACAUGCAAGUCGAGCGAACGGACGAGAAGCUUGCUUCUCUGAUGUUAGCGGCGGACGGGUGAGUAACACGUGGAUAACCUACUUAUAAGACUGGGAUAACUUCGGGAAACCGGAGCUAAUCCCGGAUAAUAUUUUGAACCGCAUGGUUCAAUAGUGAAAGACGGUCUUGCUGUCACUUAUAGAUGGAUCCGCGCUGCAUUAGCUAGUUGGUAAGGUAACGGCUUACCAAGGCAACGAUGCAUAGCCGACCUGAGAGGGUGAUCGGCCACACUGGAGCUGAGACGCGGUCCAGACGCCUACGGGAGGCAGCAGUAGGGAAUCUUCCGCAAUGGGCGGAAGCCUGACGGAGCAACGCCGCGUGAGUGAUGAAGGUCUUCGGAUCGUAAAACUCUGUUAUUAGGGAAGAACAUAUGUGUAAUUAACUGUGCACAUCUUGACGGUACCUAAUCAGAAAGCCACGGCUAACUACGUG